GCAUGAAUGAUACGUGUACAAUAUGGGCCCUAUCUAUCGUGUCCUAUUUAUUUAUUUGAUUUUCUUGUUGCUUCUGUGUUUGAAUGCCGAACAGAUUUUAGACAAACAAAAUGAUGAUUUUGACUUUGAUGGACUGCCAGGAGUUACGUACGAAUUUAAAAUAGAAGUUUAUUCUGGACGAGAACAGUGUUUUUAUCAAAAAAUUGCGAGUGGAGCUACUGUGCACCUGUCAUUUAAGGUAAAUCAUAGCAGGUACUGCGUGGAUCUGACAGACUAGUUGAUGUGUUAAUAUGGGACCCAACAAGGAAUAUUCUGGACUCUAAGUACUCUGUGUCUUCAGGUUUAUUUGAAAAAGUUUUAACUGUUGAAGGUAUAUAUACCAUAUGUAUAGACAAUGUUGCUAGCAAGUCCAUGUAUGGCUCAAAAUUAGUAUAUUUCUACAUGGGGACAUACUUAAUGGCAGAUUGGGAUAAAUACCUACAAGAAAUAGAAGGAGUCACUUCCACGGUUUCAAACUUUACUGCAAAGGACAGUGUCUUCGGUCCAGAACUCAAUAGAGGAAGUCAAACAACACCAAGCAUAUUCCAGAAUGAAUGUUAUAAAAGACUAUUAUCUCAUCAUGGGGAAUAAUGAAUAUGUAAAAUGGUGGUCCAUAUUUCAAAUAUGCAUCGUCAUUUGUACUUCCGGUUUUCAGGUAUUUUGCUUGAGGAGACUUUUUAGGGUUCCAGAUGUUACAGGAAAGUCGAAACCGCGUGCUUAAACAGUUGAAUUUCACUCUGAGUGUGUUCGCCAUGUAUUAAAAGGCACUUGGAAGAAAUGGCGGGGAUGACCAUCCUUUCUUGAUAACCUUAGAAUUCCAUAUAUACGUGUACGGAAUUAAAGAAAGAUGAACUCAUCUUCCUAAGUUAUGUUAUUAUUCACUUUUAUACCCAGAAAUGUAGUACACAAUGAUAAGCAAAUAAAAUGUUGAAUUCGA